UGGGCAACAAUAAAUAAAGAAAUAAAUAAUAACGGUUUUCCAGUGUAGGUUGUGUUGCGGAGAGUGAUGGACUGACGGUUGACUGAUACGUUGACCCCUUGGAGAUACAUGCACAUUGACACUGCAAAAUACGAUAAUUCUGGUGGUUCGGUACGACAAUGUGGGCUAGAAAAGUUAACAUCACUGCUACAUCGACACAUUUUCAAAUCUUUCUCCUUGACGUUACAACGUAAACAAAGUCGCAAAUCGACCGAACGAGACCAACAUGUUGGGCUCAUUUUGCACCGAUAUGCAGUCAGAAACCCAACUGACUUGCAAUUUCAGUCGCAUAUUGACAUGUAAACCCACCUUUCAGAGCGAAGUCAGGGAAAGAGGCGGUACAGUACACAGACGGGAAUUCCUCGUAAACGGCAACUCACACGAAAGGAAUGACAAUCUUUAAAAAUAAUCUACGAGGAGCCUACAACAGACUUUCUAUGAGACCUGAGACGAUGUUGAC